GACGAACUGUCCUAACGUUGUUCGGAAUCACUGGGCUUAAAGGGCGCGUAGGCGGUCCGACAAGUCAGGGGUGAAAUCCUGCAGCUUAACUGCAGAAGUGCCUCUGAUACUGUCGGUCUGGAGGGAGAUAGGGGUGUGCGGAACUUCCAGUGGAGCGGUGAAAUGCGUUGAUAUUGGAAGGAACGCCGGAGGCGAAAGCGG
rnacentral:rRNA from 1 species